UUUGAGUUUUUUUUUUCCAUUAAUUGUUGAUUGACGGGCGUUGUUUGAUGUGCAGGUAUCUUCGAAAUCGUGAUGAUUGACAUUGCAAAUGCUAUUGUAACAGGAGUCACAUGAAAUAAAUUGGUAAUUUUCUUUUGUCUAAUUUGAAUUAUGCUGUUAAUAUUAUUUGAUUUGCAUGUCCCUGAGGGUGCCAUGGUUGCUGCGACAAUCUAUAUUGGCUCUUUUUUCGAGCUUCGAGAUGAUGAUAUGAUAAAUUCAAGCGAAGGGCCCUAAUCGACUUAAAUUUUAUGAUGCUCUUAACAAAGCUUGCGAUAAUUAUAGGUUAAUUAAGGUACAUGUCCACUCCACUACUUUUUAAUUCGUUGAUCAUGGGUAAUCCAACUUUAAGUUUCUUUGAGUCUCAUUCAGAGUCUUUUAAAUUACUCUAGCUUGGAAGUCUAAGUUUGGUGAUUAUAUCCGGUGUGGUUCCAAAGACUGUUAUCGGGUAAGUAAAUCUGCUAAUCUAGGAUAUAUUGAUAAAUAAAGGCCUGAAUUUCUUAUGUGUUUGCCUCGUUCAAACCCUACUUCAUCAUCCUCUUCAGAAAUUCGAGAUUCUGAAACAGAAAUUCCGUGUUUCUCUAAUUCUACCAAUCUGUUUCGAAUCUCUUUACUAAGAAAUCGAAAGUCUGGAAUUCGAAUUGGUAUACUAUCUCUUUCAGACGUAGAUAUAAUUUGGGUUUUGCGUAUAUGGAUAGUUACAAAAGAUUGAUUAUGAUUUUGUGCAACUCGGUUUCAAAGGUUUGUGAAGAUUUGGAGUUUAUGCUGCCACGGAGAAGAAGCUGUACAGAGAGAACUUGAUUUACCAGCUCGAGGUGAUUUUUUUAUUGUGCUCGAGGAUUGCUUGGGCGGGGAGAAGAUCGAAUUGAAAGAGAUGCACAUGUUAAGAAGAUACUGUUGCUGCCAUAGUUUUGAGAGUGUGUAUCUAGAAGAGGUGAGACUGGUGAUGGUGGAUAAGCUGGUGGUGAUCUGUAGAAGAAAGAUGGUGUUGUAGCUGCUGUUGAAGUAAUUAGGUAUCAAUAAGAAGUUCCGUGGUUGUUGCUUUUGAUAAUUUAAUGGUUUGUUUCCAGGCAGAGUUAGCCAAUUAGCAAAACAUUUUUGAAUGCAAGCCUAUGGAGUGAAUUUAACGAGAUGGCGAUGGAGUUAUUAUUUACGAUAUGCUAAGUCUGGAUUGCAGUGGAGAUGCUGGAGGAGUGUUUUGAUUCAUUAUGAAUUGGAUACUCAUUAUGUCAAUAAGGUUGUCAUUUAUUCAGUUUUUUAUUGGCAGUGUUUUUUUUUUGUCUUGCAUCAUUAUCUUUAUAAAUCUACCGGUUAAUAUAGUAUACAUGCUGUUAGGAAAUCGAUAGAUCCCUCCGACAAUAAAAACUCGGUUUAUAUACAUUUAAUUGACAUUCAAACAAUGAAACUCAGUUUGAUUUGUACUUUUUGGUGAAUUACUUGCAGGCUUACAUGGCUUGCAUUAUGCAAGAUCAUUGGUAAGUCUCUAUUUACAGGAUAUCCAAUUUACUGUUAUGUUUUGCAUCGAACUUCAGAGCAUAUUGAUCACAUCUCAAUUCUGAUAAUAUUGCUUUUAGAACUGAGCAAUGUUGAUCUAGCGACUCAUAUAGUCUCAUUCUAUGAUUUUUUUCUGGAUAUGAGUUUCUUUUAAGUGAUUAAACUGGAAAAUUAUCAAAAUUGUAGCAUCCCUAUCACAUUAACAUUGUUAACAAAAAAAUGUGAAUGCAGUGUGUACCUUCAGGGCAUAUUAAUGAUUUCAAUGCAGAGAAACAACAACAGAGGCAACUGCGAAGAAAGGUAACUUUAAUACGCCCAGUAACAUUUGCUCGAGCUUGGGUUCUUUAACUCCUCCAGUCACUCACGGAUGGUAUGGCAGAAGCGCUUUGUUUGAAAUAAAAUGAAGUGGCAAGCUCCAAAUACAUGUUAAGAUCCUUCAGAGACAAAAAAAAAAUGCAAGGCUUGAGAGUAGUAAUCAUUUUCAAGGUACAGGACAUGCAGAAAAUGACUGCAAAAAUGAUUAUUGAUUAUCAAGAGUAGUCAAUUAAUGAUAUUCCCUUCCUUUUAACAUUAUUCUUUUUUCCCGUGCAUGUAUUGACUGCACUAGC